AAAAAACGAACAGUCUCAGUUCGGAUUGAAGGCUGAAAUUCGCCUUCAUGAAGCCGGAAUUGCUAGUAAUGGCAGGUCAGCAUACUGCCGUGAAUACGUUCCCGGGCCUUGUACACACCGCCCGUCACACCAUGAGAGUUGGGAAUACCCGAAGCCUGUGAGCUAACUGUAAAGAGGCAGCAGUCGAAGGUAGAAUCAAUGAUUGGGGUGAAGUCGUAACAAGGUAUC
rnacentral:rRNA from 1 species